rnacentral:rRNA from 1 species
GACGAACGCUGGCGGCGUGCUUAACACAUGCAAGUCGAGCGGUAAGGCCCUUUCGGGGGUACACGAGCGGCGAACGGGUGAGUAACACGUGGGUGACCUGCCUUUAGCUCUGGGAUAAGCCUGGGAAACUGGGUCUAAUACCGGAUACGACUCCGCGGUGCAUGCUGUGGGGUGGAAAGCCUUGUGCGGCUGGAGAUGGGCCCGCGGCCUAUCAGCUUGUUGGGUGGGGUGAUGGCCUACCAAGGCGACGACGGGUAGCCGGCCUGAGAGGGCGACCGGCCACACUGGGACUGAGACACGGCCCAGACUCCUACGGGAGGCAGCAGUGGGGAAUCUUGCGCAAUGGGCGAAAGCCUGACGCAGCGACGCCGCGUGA